rnacentral:rRNA from 1 species
AUUGAACGCUGGCGGCAUGCUUUACACAUGCAAGUCGAACGGUAACAGCACUUCGGUGGCUGACGAGUGGCGAACGGGUGAGUAAUACAACGGAACGUGCCUAGUAGUGGGGGAUAACUACUCGAAAGAGUAGCUAAUACCGCAUGAGAUCUAAGGAUGAAAGCAGGGGACCUUCGGGCCUUGCGCUACUAGAGCGGCUGAUGGCAGAUUAGGUAGUUGGUGGGAUAAAAGCUUACCAAGCCGACGAUCUGUAGCUGGUCUGAGAGGACGACCAGCCACACUGGGACUGAGACACGGCCCAGACUCCUACGGGAGGCAGCAGUGGGGAAUUUUGGACAAUGGGCGCAAGCCUGAUCCAGCAAUGCCGCGUGCAGGAUGAAGGCCUUCGGGUUGUAAACUGCUUUUGUACGGAACGAAAAGCCCUCUUCUAAUACAGGAGGGUCAUGACGGUACCGUAAGAAUAAGCACCGGCUAACUACGUG